rnacentral:rRNA from 1 species
UGCCACAGCCAUAUCACCCUGCAGCCCAAGACUGGUCACCCACUGAAGCUAAGCAGGGUUGAGCCUGGCCAGUACCUGGAUGGGAGACCUCCUGGGAAAUCUAAGUCAGUGGUUC